rnacentral:rRNA from 1 species
AUGCCAUGGGAAGGUUACAAUUUUGAGGAUGCAGUACUAAUUAGCCAACGUUUGGUAUAUGAAGAUAUUUAUACCUCUUUUCUCAUCUGGAAAUAUGAAAUUCAGACGGAUACGACAAGCCAGGGCUAUCCGCUGAAAAAAUCACUAAAGAAAUACCACAUCAGUCAGUACAUUAAUCUACCGGGCUUGAAGCCCAUUACCCAUUGCCUUUUUUUUCCUGUUUGUAUGUGUUUUUACUUAUGUUUUCUCAUUUCUUUUUAG